UAGGGAAUAUUAGAAAUGGACGAAAGUCUGAUCUAGCAACACCGCGUGUGCGAAGAAGGCCUUCGGGUUGUAAAGCACUUUUUGGAAGGAAUAGGAAGGAAUGUACUUCCAGAAUAAGUCUCGGCUAACUACGUGCCAGCAGCCGCGGUAACACGUAGGAGGCGAACGUUAUCCGGAUUUACUGGGCGUAAAGCGCGUGUAGGUGGUUCUGUAAGUAGGGCGUGAAAGCUCCUGGCUCAACUGGGAGAGGCCGUUCUAAACUACAGAACUAGAGGAUGGUAGAGGGAGGUGGAAUUCCAGGUGUAGCGGUGGAAUGCGUAGAUAUCCGGAGGAACACCAGUGGCGAAAGCGGCCUCCUGGCCCAUUUCUGACGCUCAGACACGAAAGCUAAGGUAGCAAACG
rnacentral:rRNA from 1 species